UCUCAGUUCGGACUGGAGUCUGCAACCCGACUCCACGAAGCUGGAUUCGCUAGUAAUCGCGCAUCAGCCACGGCGCGGUGAAUACGUUCCCGGGCCUUGUACACACCGCCCGUCAAGCCAUGGGAGCCGGGGGUACCUGAAGUGCGUAACCGCGAGGAGCGCCCUUAGGGUAAAACUGGUGACUGGGGCUAAGUCGUAACAAGGUAAC
rnacentral:rRNA from 1 species